GCUGGGUGCAGUGGUGCACACCUGUAAUCCCAGCAGCUUGGGAGUCUGAGGCAGGAGGAUCUGGAGUUCAAAGCCAGCCUCAGCAAUGUGCUAAACAACUCAUUGAGACCCUGUCUCUA
rnacentral:sRNA from 1 species